rnacentral:rRNA from 1 species
UACGAAGGGGGCUAGCGUUGUUCGGAAUUACUGGGCGUAAAGCGUGCGCAGGCGGUUGUGCAAGACAGAUGUGAAAUCCCCGGGCUCAACCUGGGAAUUGCAUUUGUGACUGCACGGCUAGAGUGUGUCAGAGGGGGGUAGAAUUCCACGUGUAGCAGUGAAAUGCGUAGAGAUGUGGAGGAAUACCGAUGGCGAAGGCAGCCCCCUGGGAUAACACUGACGCCUCAUGCACGA